GAUUUUCUGUUUGCUUGGUCUUUCUGUUUCUUUGUUUUUAUAAGCAAAUAACUGUGGCUAAUGCUACGUUUCCCUUCAGUUUUCCCAUUCCAUGUAUUUUCUUAUUGUAGAAAUAAAAUCUGUUUUAUAUUAUCAUUAUUUUUGGUAAUUGGGGAUGGUAACGAGCAGGUAGAAGUACAACUGAGCCCGACUUUACCUGUAAUGUGGUGAUGAGUGUGUUUUAUUUUGGUACUCUGGUAAUAAUCACCUCCAGCGUCUACAGUGUCAUUCCCUACAGAAGGCUGGAUGUUCUCAAAGCUGUAGUAUUUACGUCUGUGAAGUUUUUCUCUACUCGGUGUGUUUUUUGAAACUACUUUUAAGGUUUUGAUGAUGGGUUUGAAAAUGCACAAUUUUAUUUUCUCUGAAUGGCAAUUUGAGCAAUACAAAAUUACACAUCACUCUCGGUGGGAGAUUGACUGAAGAGAUCGGACAGGAUUCAGAUCCAUUCGUACUGAAACAACAGAAUCAGCACCUCAGUGACUUGCCUCCGUCAGGUGUACUGCCUGGCGGGCUUUCUGCUGCUGCACCACGACAUUAGAGAAUCAGGGUUUACAAAGCAGACCCAAGCCUGCCUGCAGAGCCCCCCCCCUCAUCCAUGUGUACAAAUACACUUGUCGAGCGAGUGGCAAGUGGUGAAGUCAUACAGCUGAAUUAUUUUUAUCUGAUUGAGACAUUUUCUGAACUUUGAGGAGUCACGCUUAACAAGCAGAAGGCCCAGGUAGUGCAGCUGGCUCUCAGAGAUCUUACCUGCAGGUGCACUAACGGCUGGAGUCAUAAUGGACAGCCUGCAGCUGUUCUGAUGGCUGCCUGGAGGGGCUGUAUUGAUAAUAUCCUAGCCUGCAAGGCUCAAUCCAUCCCCUGGGGCGCUCAGCAGCAAGUGGAUGAAGAGUCCCCGGACGGUCUUUUGGCUCCACCGCUAGACAUUGCAACAGAGGAAGAGAUCUGAACUCGUUCGAGUGCAGCAGAGCGAGGGGCAGAGAGCAGUGAUCACAGACGAGGCGAGGAGAUGUAUGAGGGAAGGGAUGGAGAGACGGGGAAAAGAAAGGAGAGGAAAUGACAGCCUGCGCCAAGGAACGUCCUGCUCUCUUCUCUCCCAUCAGAAGUGCUAAUCCAACCAGCGGAGGUGCAGACCACCGCUCACAUCUGCCUUCUCCUCUCCAUCUUGUUAGGGACCAGAUGGGAGAGAAAGUGACUUCCCGCUGUACUUCCACUACAUGGCUUGUUCCCUCACAUUAAUACCUUCGCUGCUCAGCUCCAUUUGUUACACACACUCCAGACACACACUCAGGGGGAGCCUCGGGCUGUGAAUGAUGGCCAUAUGCAGAACUGCGCUCAUCUAUAACCCCCCGUGGCUGCAACAAAGUACAGUAGGCACCUUGAGUGUUUCAACAAAGGUUAACAUUUAGAAGUUCUGCGGGCCUGUCUGAUUCGGCAUCUCUGUGUAGUGCGCUCAGCUGAGCCGUAAAAAGUUAUCAAACUGGGUUUGUAGGUAGAAGGUCACUGGUUUAAAUUCACGUGUGUGUGUGUGAGUAAAAAUCCAUCAGGAAAAGUGAACAAGUAACUCAGCAUCCGCUUCAAGCAACCGCUGUGAGAAGUCACGUGACUGCUCUGCAUCCAACAGCAGCCAGCAGUCGCCGCACAGCUUCCAGGUGUGAGAGCGUGUUAAUAUGUAAUUUGGAAACAAAGCAGAGUGGAAAAGCAUGCAUGCUCAGCACAACAUUUCCCCUGAUAGUUAUAAAAAGAAAAAUACAACACAGCUGAUGAGACGAGCGAGCGAGCGAGCGCCCGUUAACGACCAGCUCACCAUUAAAAUGAAUGAAACCAACAACGACCCGCAAACCAGGGGUGUGUAGAUUAGUACACAACGAGUGGCGUCGCGAACAACUGUGUGUGCAAGUUAUUUAUUUAUUUGCAGAAUGCAACUUUCUUUAUGAGGUUGGCUGUUUACUCGCUAAAAAAAGACAGUCAUCACCGUGUGCACCUCUCCACGUGUGAUUAAGUGAAGUAACUUCAGUCGACAGGGUUGAGGUGAGAUGUAGGUGAAUGCAAUCUGACAUCAAAAGAACCAACAACAAAAAACAUCAACGUUUGGUAAACCCUGCAGAAAACAUAUUUUCAUCAUAAGUUAAUUUCUCACUGAACAGUUUUACUGUCAGACAAAAUGGAAAAGCAGAAAUCAGCUAAUAUUGUACAUGUUCAUAAAUGGUCAGUGAAUAGAUUCAUUGACCUGUUUCAGCUCCGAAUCAAACCUUCUGAAAGAAAGUCUAAAUUAAGUUAACAGUUAAAUUAAGUUGAUUCUGUUCAAAAUAAAACACAGUUUUUCUCCACCAAGAAUUACGCCUGAAGCUUGUUGAUGGAUAACACAGGUCUAUGUGCAAGUUGCUAAAGGACAUUUAAUCAAAUAUUAGUGGGGGGGUGUAUGUAUAUAUGUGAUCCUGUGGGGAUUAGUCUAAAAUAAAUUCAAACUAACUCUUAUUUUUUAAAGUCAU